rnacentral:rRNA from 1 species
CGGCAUGGCGGCGUCUAUACAUGCAGUCGAACGAACUCUGGUAUUGAUUGGUGCUUGCAUCAUGAUUUACAUUUGAGUGAGUGGCGAACUGGUGAGUAACACGUGGGAAACCUGCCCAGAAGCGGGGGAUAACACCUGGAAACAGAUGCUAAUACCGCAUAACAACUUGGACCGCAUGGUCCGAGUUUGAAAGAUGGCUUCGGCUAUCACUUUUGGAUGGUCCCGCGGCGUAUUAGCUAGAUGGUGGGGUAACGGCUCACCAUGGCAAUGAUACGUAGCCGACCUGAGAGGGUAAUCGGCCACAUUGGGACUGAGACACGGCCCAAACUCCUACGGGAGGCAGCAGUAGGGAAUCUUCCACAAUGGACGAAAGUCUGAUGGAGCAACGCCGCGUGAGUGAAGAAGGGUUUCGGCUCGUAAAACUCUGUUGUUAAAGAAGAACAUAUCUGAGAGUAACUGUUCAGGUAUUGACGGUAUUUAACCAGAAAGCCACGGCUAACUACGUGCCAGCAGCCGCGGUAAUACGUAGGUGGCAAGCGUUGUCCGGAUUUAUUGGGCGUAAAGCGAGCGCAGGCGGUUUUUUAAGUCUGAUGUGAAAGCCUUCGGCUCAACCGAAGAAGUGCAUCGGAAACUGGGAAACUUGAGUGCAGAAGAGGACAGUGGAACUCCAUGUGUAGCGGUGAAAUGCGUAGAUAUAUGGAAGAACACCAGUGGCGAAGGCGGCUGUCUGGUCUGUAACUGACGCUGAGGCUCGAAAGUAUGGGUAGCAAACAGGAUUAGAUACCCUGGUAGUCCAUACCGUAAACGAUGAAUGCUAAGUGUUGGAGGGUUUCCGCCCUUCAGUGCUGCAGCUAACGCAUUAAGCAUUCCGCCUGGGGAGUACGGCCGCAAGGCUGAAACUCAAAGGAAUUGACGGGGGCCCGCACAAGCGGUGGAGCAUGUGGUUUAAUUCGAAGCUACGCGAGACCCUUACCAGUCUUGACAUACUAUGCAAAUCUAAGAGAUUAGACGUUCCCUUCGGGACAUGGAUACAGUGGUGCAUGGUUGUCGUCAGCU